UGAAUUUGAUUAUAGCUUUCACUCUUUAA
rnacentral:piRNA from 1 species